rnacentral:ncRNA from 1 species
CUUAUCCUGAGCAGUGGAGGGACAGGCCCUUUGAAGCUGCAGCAACCGGCUAUUUUCUUAAUAGCAGAUGGUGCUAAUUCCUGCUCCAAUUAUUUAGGGGAGAGAUAAG